UUCCUUGUCGGGUAAGUUCCGACCUGCACGAAUGGCGUAAUGAUGGCCAGGCUGUCUCCACCCGAGACUCAGUGAAAUUGAACUCGCUGUGAAGAUGCAGUGUACCCGCGGCAAGACGGAAAGACCCCGUGAACCUUUACUAUAGCUUGACACUGAACAUUGAGCCUUGAUGUGUAGGAUAGGUGGGAGGCUUUGAAGCGUGGACGCCAGUCUGCGUGGAGCCAACCUUGAAAUACCACCCUUUAAUGUUUGAUGUUCUAACGUUGGCCCCUGACCGGGGUUGCGGACAGUGUCUGGUGGGUAGUUUGACUGGGGCGGUCUCCUCCCAAAGCGUAACGGAGGAGCACGAAGGUUAGCUAAUCCUGGUCGGACAUCAGGAGGUUAGUGCAAUGGCAUAAGCUAGCUUGACUGCGAGCGUGACGGCGCGAGCAGGUGCGAAAGCAGGUCAUAGUGAUCCGGUGGUUCUGAAUGGAAGGGCCAUCGCUCAACGGAUAAAAGGUACUCCGGGGAUAACAGGCUGAUACCGCCCAAGAGUUCAUAUCGACGGCGGUGUUUGGCACCUCGAUGUCGGCUCAUCACAUCCUGGGGCUGAAGUAGGUCCCAAGGGUAUGGCUGUUCGCCAUUUAAAGUGGUACGCGAGCUGGGUUUAGAACGUCGUGAGACAGUUCGGUCCCUAUCUGCCGUGGGCGCUGGAGAAUUGAGGGGGGCUGCUCCUAGUACGAGAGGACCGGAGUGGACGCAUCACUGGUGUUCGGGUUGUCAUGCCAAUGGCACUGCCCGGUAGCUAAAUGCGGAAGAGAUAAGUGCUGAAAGCAUCUAAGCACGAAACUUGCCCCGAGAUGAGUUCUCCCUGAGACUUUAAGUCUCCUGAAGGAACGUUGAAGACGACGACGUUGAUAGGCCGGGUGUGUAAGCGCAGCGAUGCGUUGAGCUAACCGGUACUAAUGAACCGUGAGGCUUAACCUU
rnacentral:rRNA from 1 species